UAAGCGACUAAGCGUACACGGUGGAUGCCCUGGCAGUCAGAGGCGAUGAAGGACGUGCUAAUCUGCGAUAAGCGUCGGUAAGGUGAUAUGAACCGUUAUAACCGGCGAUUUCCGAAUGGGGAAACCCAGUGUGUUUCGACACACUAUCAUUAACUGAAUCCAUAGGUUAAUGAGGCGAACCGGGGGAACUGAAACAUCUAAGUACCCCGAGGAAAAGAAAUCAACCGAGAUUCCCCCAGUAGCGGCGAGCGAACGGGGAGCAGCCCAGAGCCUGAAUCAGUGUGUGUGUUAGUGGAAGCGUCUGGAAAGGCGCGCGAUACAGGGUGACAGCCCCGUACACAAAAAUGCACAUGCUGUGAGCUCGAUGAGUAGGGCGGGACACGUGGUAUCCUGUCUGAAUAUGGGGGGACCAUCCUCCAAGGCUAAAUACUCCUGACUGACCGAUAGUGAACCAGUACCGUGAGGGAAAGGCGAAAAGAACCCCGGCGAGGGGAGUGAAAAAGAACCUGAAACCGUGUACGUACAAGCAGUGGAAGCCUCUUUAUGGGGUGACUGCGUACCUUUUGUAUAAUGGGUCAGCGACUUAUAUUCUGUAGCAAGGUUAACCGAAUAGGGGAGCCGAAGGGAAACCGAGUCUUAACUGGGCGUUAAGUUGCAGGGUAUAGACCCGAAACCCGGUGAUCUAGCCAUGGGCAGGUUGAAGGUUGGGUAACACUAACUGGAGGACCGAACCGACUAAUGUUGAAAAAUUAGCGGAUGACUUGUGGCUGGGGGUGAAAGGCCAAUCAAACCGGGAGAUAGCUGGUUCUCCCCGAAAGCUAUUUAGGUAGCGCCUCGUGAAUUCAUCUCCGGGGGUAGAGCACUGUUUCGGCAAGGGGGUCAUCCCGACUUACCAACCCGAUGCAAACUGCGAAUACCGGAGAAUGUUAUCACGGGAGACACACGGCGGGUGCUAACGUCCGUCGUGAAGAGGGAAACAACCCAGACCGCCAGCUAAGGUCCCAAAGUCAUGGUUAAGUGGGAAACGAUGUGGGAAGGCCCAGACAGCCAGGAUGUUGGCUUAGAAGCAGCCAUCAUUUAAAGAAAGCGUAAUAGCUCACUGGUCGAGUCGGCCUGCGCGGAAGAUGUAACGGGGCUAAACCAUGCACCGAAGCUGCGGCAGCGACGCUUAUGCGUUGUUGGGUAGGGGAGCGUUCUGUAAGCCUGUGAAGGUGUGCUGUGAGGCAUGCUGGAGGUAUCAGAAGUGCGAAUGCUGACAUAAGUAACGAUAAAGCGGGUGAAAAGCCCGCUCGCCGGAAGACCAAGGGUUCCUGUCCAACGUUAAUCGGGGCAGGGUGAGUCGACCCCUAAGGCGAGGCCGAAAGGCGUAGUCGAUGGGAAACAGGUUAAUAUUCCUGUACUUGGUGUUACUGCGAAGGGGGGACGGAGAAGGCUAUGUUGGCCGGGCGACGGUUGUCCCGGUUUAAGCGUGUAGGCUGGUUUUCCAGGCAAAUCCGGAAAAUCAAGGCUGAGGCGUGAUGACGAGGCACUACGGUGCUGAAGCAACAAAUGCCCUGCUUCCAGGAAAAGCCUCUAAGCAUCAGGUAACAUCAAAUCGUACCCCAAACCGACACAGGUGGUCAGGUAGAGAAUACCAAGGCGCUUGAGAGAACUCGGGUGAAGGAACUAGGCAAAAUGGUGCCGUAACUUCGGGAGAAGGCACGCUGAUAUGUAGGUGAGGUCCCUCGCGGAUGGAGCUGAAAUCAGUCGAAGAUACCAGCUGGCUGCAACUGUUUAUUAAAAACACAGCACUGUGCAAACACGAAAGUGGACGUAUACGGUGUGACGCCUGCCCGGUGCCGGAAGGUUAAUUGAUGGGGUUAGCGGUAACGCGAAGCUCUUGAUCGAAGCCCCGGUAAACGGCGGCCGUAACUAUAACGGUCCUAAGGUAGCGAAAUUCCUUGUCGGGUAAGUUCCGACCUGCACGAAUGGCGUAAUGAUGGCCAGGCUGUCUCCACCCGAGACUCAGUGAAAUUGAACUCGCUGUGAAGAUGCAGUGUACCCGCGGCAAGACGGAAAGACCCCGUGAACCUUUACUAUAGCUUGACACUGAACAUUGAGCCUUGAUGUGUAGGAUAGGUGGGAGGCUUUGAAGUGUGGACGCCAGUCUGCAUGGAGCCGACCUUGAAAUACCACCCUUUAAUGUUUGAUGUUCUAACGUUGACCCGUAAUCCGGGUUGCGGACAGUGUCUGGUGGGUAGUUUGACUGGGGCGGUCUCCUCCUAAAGAGUAACGGAGGAGCACGAAGGUUGGCUAAUCCUGGUCGGACAUCAGGAGGUUAGUGCAAUGGCAUAAGCCAGCUUGACUGCGAGCGUGACGGCGCGAGCAGGUGCGAAAGCAGGUCAUAGUGAUCCGGUGGUUCUGAAUGGAAGGGCCAUCGCUCAACGGAUAAAAGGUACUCCGGGGAUAACAGGCUGAUACCGCCCAAGAGUUCAUAUCGACGGCGGUGUUUGGCACCUCGAUGUCGGCUCAUCACAUCCUGGGGCUGAAGUAGGUCCCAAGGGUAUGGCUGUUCGCCAUUUAAAGUGGUACGCGAGCUGGGUUUAGAACGUCGUGAGACAGUUCGGUCCCUAUCUGCCGUGGGCGCUGGAGAACUGAGGGGGGCUGCUCCUAGUACGAGAGGACCGGAGUGGACGCAUCACUGGUGUUCGGGUUGUCAUGCCAAUGGCACUGCCCGGUAGCUAAAUGCGGAAGAGAUAAGUGCUGAAAGCAUCUAAGCACGAAACUUGCCCCGAGAUGAGUUCUCCCUGACUCCUUGAGAGUCCUGAAGGAACGUUGAAGACGACGACGUUGAUAGGCCGGGUGUGUAAGCGCAGCGAUGCGUUGAGCUAACCGGUACUAAUGAACCGUGAGGCUUAACCU
rnacentral:rRNA from 1 species